UUCAAAAAGGAUCAAUUGACCACAAACUGCAGCAAGUGAUCAGAGAUAAUCUCUACUUGAGAACCAUUCCAUGCACUACAAGGGCCCCCAGGGAUGGAGAAGUACCAGGAGUGGAUUAUAAUUUCAUUUCCGUUGAACAGUUCAAAGCACUGGAAGAGAGUGGAGCAUUGUUAGAAAGUGGGACAUAUGAUGGUAUGUCCCCAAAUAACAUCACUACCACCCAAAAAACUAUCUGAACGACUGGAAUUAUUUCAGAGGGAAUUUGACCAGUAAAGUACCACUUUUUGAAAAACUUUUUUUCCUCUCUGUUUUUGAGAAAAUUUUCUUUUGAUGGGGAGAUUUGUAAUUUAUUAAUUAAAAUGGGAUUAAAUAAUAAGCAAAAAAAAUCCAUCAUAUUUUAAAGUUGAUUGUGAACAGUAUACUAAAAAUCAGCCAGACUGGCCAGUUUAUAUAUUUCAUAGUAAUUCACAUUCAUCAUGUGAACUCAGUGAGUAUUUGUUGAUUGCAUUUUAUUUGUGGUUGGAAUUCAAAAUCUGUACUUUAAAAAACUUACAUGUACCUUGACUAUCCUGGAAAAAAGAGAAUAUAAAAUUUGG
rnacentral:lncRNA from 1 species